rnacentral:sRNA from 1 species
GGUAUGCAUGCACUGAUGAGGAGAGCCUUAGUUUUUUUUAUAGGGUCCACAUUUUCAAGAACUUCGAGUGAUAUACUAUUUGAAGAGACCUUCAAAGUCGCACAAUUGUUAUAAGUUAGAUUUUAAAAACAUACAUGAUGUUAUUACAAUAACAGAAAUGUGAUCGACAGAAUAAAGUAUAUAAAAAUCCAUAUUCUGAACACUUUUACAGUCGUGGCUCAGCCAGAAAGAAUAAAUGUCUUGUCUGCGAGAAAAUUAAAUAACACAAUUACAUAAAGAGAAAAAAUAACACAUUAUUUCUUUGGGGGGAGGGGGGGGGGGGUUUGGAGCUACUCAAGUGACCUACUGCGAUUGGUCUUCGCACUUCGUCGUACGUCAUGCGUCGUCCAUCAUGCACAUCUGAAACUUCUUCUUGAAAACUACAAGGCAAAUUAUUACUAUUUUUAGUUUAAAGCAUCUCUAAAAUAAGGGGAAAAUAAAUUGUGAACUUUGUUGCCAGCCCUCCGGGGCCUUAUUGGUGGGGCCAAAUAAACAAACAAUGGCCUCCUUUUCAACCUCCAUCUCUACACUCCCUGACAUACUGAAAAAAAAUCUAAUGUACGAUUAUGAUAUCCAUGAAGCCCUCUACCAAAAUUGUGAAAUUCGUCUUCCCUGGGAUAUGGGUUCAGGAUCUUUGGGUAGGGACAAUUUGGCUUCAUAGUGAAACUAUGUUGAAUUUUAUAAUAUUUUCUUUUGUACUUUUACAGUCAAUGGAUAUAAACUCAAUGCAUGUUGGUCUCGUGGUUUUUUAAAUAUUCUGGUGAUUAUUACUUUUAAUUUACGAAGUAGAUGGUAUACUGCGCAGCAAAGUUGAUUUAGCGCUCUCCUUUCUUCAAGGUCAUUUAAAGUGAGUAUAAAUACGUAUUUUGGCUGAAGGCAAGAUGUAGAAAAUAUGUACAAGGAAGAGAAAUCAUCUAUUUACAAAUACUAAGAAAAUAAUUGUGUCACCGGCCCUAUAAAUACCGUAUACAUGUACUGCUUCACAUAGAAAUCUGUCUUGGUAUAUGAAUGAAUUAGGUCGACAGACAAAAAAAAUAAACAAAUGUUUUUAUUUGAAUUUUGAUUAAAUUAUCAAAGAUAACAAAUGGUUUGCUACAGAGACAGGAAGUAAGUCGCACUCGGUCGCCGUGCGUCGCUGUUAGAGUCAUUUCUAGAGACUUCAAAGCUUCACUGAAGCCUGUGGCCCGAGCGUUCGGUACAGCAUCGAUCCAAGCGCUCCACAACAAAGGUUACACAAGGCAUGAACGCCCACGUAAGACUGCGCAAUCUGAUUUGAUCACUUGCUUGCGCUCUGCGCGUCAAUAUUUGGUUUUUAUUAGGAAUGCACAAAGGAAAAGUUCAUAUAAACGAAACAUUGAUCUUGAUUGGUGAUGGAGCGAUCAAAGUGCACUCUAAUACUCUCGUCUGCAGCUGCUUUCAGAGAAAAGAUUUCUAACUUUAUUCUCCCCAGGUCCCCUUUAAUCCGACAUCAUCAAAGGUCGGAUUCCACAUGUAGGAUUCUGAAGAUGUGACCUUUUCAUAUUGCUGUAUUGUAUUGAUAUCUGUUUAAAAGACGUACAUUCGAUAUUGAUAUCUCUGCGACAUUUGACGCCUAAUGACGUCCAAAAAAGUAGUUCUGUAUUGCUACUGACGUCAUACAGCAGACAGGCGAAUAGCGUAUAGAAAUAGCAGAAAUAAAAUGGCUCUGAUGUCUGAUGAACGUCUGAUUUCUUUCCGAGCGCCAGUUUAUUAGCCCUUCAUCUGCCUCGAUGCGCGUUACGUUAGAUGUCUGUCGGCCCCUUUUUGAGUCUUUUGAAUUUGUUUUGAUAUGUAAUUGGGAGAGAAUGCGAUCAAGACGACCCACUAACACAUUUUACACAACACCAGCUGGCGUUUCAACACGAUUUUUGAGUGUAGAGUUUACUUAUUUCACGUUUGGUGAAAAUUUGAGUCCGGUUCGUAUCAAAAAUUACACGCAACAGCUUGCUUCCUGUGGUCCGAAAAGUCCACGCUGAUUGGCCAAAGGGGGGUCCAAUCAGCAUGGACCGUUACUCUCAAUCGCAAAUCAGACAAUUUAUUAUGUCCGUAUUUUACAAUCAAGAGAAGAAAUCUCAUUUGAAGUGUUUUCCUUGUUUACAUGAACUCGGAGCGCGCUCGGGAAGAGAAAUUUAAAUAGACGACAUUCGAACUGGUCUCAGCCGGCGCAGCUUACAAACUGUUCACAAGCUGCACACUGUCGCAAGCUGCUUGAGCUUCCCAACCGUUCAUCCGAGCUCCUCUCGGGAUCUGAUGCUACUGGCCCACUGUAAUAAUGGCUGGAUAAUUGAAUAAAAUAUUGUUUGUCACGAUGCCAAUACUACCAAUGAAUUUUGAAUGAACCUUGUAACGAUGACGACAUUUCAUUCAUUUAUCAUUAUUUGAAAAUUGUGAAAUGUGUUUGUAAAUGUCAGAAAUGUCAGAGAGAGAGAGAGAGAGAGAGAGAGAGAGAGAGAGAGAGAGAGAGAGAGAGAGAGAGAGAGAGCGAGAGAGAGUUGUAGAUGACAUUUUACAAUAAAUCGAUUUCUGUCUCAUUUAACAUUUUACGCACGGGGCCCAGUGACCCAGAUUGGGAUCGAUCGAUGAUUGCGUCGGUUUAAGAUGAGAGUGCGCCCGAACCUUUACAUCAUCUGCCCAGUGCACUGGUCUGUCUGUAGCCGGUAAUAUGUCCGCAUAAAGUUUUAACCAGAACAAAUGUUUAGCAUAUCUCUUGUGUUAGCUGAUAAUACCUGUGCUUGUACUGACGAAACCAAACUACAGAGAAAAUAUCUGGUAAUUCUAGGCUUGUUUAUAUUAAUUUUUUUUUUGCCUUGCUAAAUUCUAGUAAUUGAUUCUAUCCAUACUUUUACCCAAGAAAUGUUAAUGUGUGUAUUUAGGCAGACACGUGUAGGCUGUACUAGUAGAGACAUAGGACGGGGCAGCUCACGGACUGAACCCGCCUCAGUAGCCACAGACAUCAGACGCACACAAAGUAUUUUGUAAAUAUGUUAAAGAUAAAACAUAAACCGGUAACGACCACACUGAGCCAGAAUAUAGGCGUGGGCGAGCUCCAUCAGUGCACGACCCACAGCAUACGAUGCUUUCUACUGAUUGGGUCGUGAUUUUUAUUUUUAGUCAUUAAUAAUUCAGGAUUAUUUUCACUUUUAAGACAAGUGAAAUAAAGUGGCCUUUUCUGAGAAAUGAAAUCAU